rnacentral:rRNA from 1 species
ACGGGAGGCAGCAGUGGGGAAUAUUGCACAAUGGGCGAAAGCCUGAUGUAGCGACGCCGCGUGAGUGAAGAAGUUAUUCGUAAUGUAAAGCUCUAUCAGCAGGGAAGAAAAUGACGGUACCUGACUAAGAAGCCCCGGCUAACUACGUGCCAGCAGCCGCGGUAAUACGUAGGGGGCAAGCGUUAUCCGGAUUUACUGGGUGUAAAGGGAGCGUAGACGGCAAAGCAAGUCUGAAGUGAAAUCCCGGGGCUCAACCCUGGAACUGCUUUGGAAACUGUUUAGCUAGAGUGCAGGAGAGGUAAGUGGAAUUCCUAGUGUAGCGGUGAAAUGCGUAGAUAUUAGGAGGAACACCAGUGGCGAAGGCGGCUUACUGGACUGUAACUGACGUUGAGGCUCGAAAGCGUGGGGAGCAAACAGGAUUAGAUACCCUGGUA